rnacentral:lncRNA from 1 species
CUAAAAAGUGUUCACUUAAUAGUUUUUCUGAGCUUCUCUAGUCUUUUUCGCCUUUCUUAAUGAAACUGAUUCAAGCAUUCGUUCAGAGUUGACAACAACGGAUAAGCAUUUUCCCUAUGCCUAAAGCACCAAGACUGUAACAAUGAAAAUGGCUCCCUUUUUAGUGAGAUUAUAUGAGCAAAUGCCCGAACCUGCUCUUUUGACUUGUUCGUCUCGUCUUCCAGCUCAAACUAGCCAGGACUCCUAUUCCGGGUAGUGUUUUUUGAAGUCUUUUGAUCAUUUUUAUAAAAUGUUAGUAUUUUGUAACUGACGAGUCGAAAAAUUUGAACCGCCAGUUGAAUUAGUGACUCAUGUUCUUGGUUUAACGACUGUUUAAACAAGUAAUUAUCUUAAAUGGCUGCAGUUUAUUGACCAUUGCUGUCCCUUUUAACUUUGCUAUCUUCUACUAAGACUAUCCACCACCCUUUCUCACGUAAAAAGUUGUAGUGUUGAAGACUUUAAAUAAGUCAGUAGUAAAAUAUGUACGCCUGGAGGAAGGUGAAGGAAAUAAUGAUGAUAAAGAAGAAAAAAUUAUAGAGCUGUCAUCCAGAUCUUGAACAUUUUUCACGCCAAUACCCAGUCUGACAGCUUGACCCUAUUCUGACUUAUUCUUGAAGGGUCUAACAAAAGAACUUCUUAUGUUUGCCUAGUAAACAUGGAUUGAAAAUAGAUUAAAUCAAAUUUAACUAUUUAUUUUUUUCUCCCAAAAUAAGUUUUCAAUUUUUGAAUGUUAUCCGAUUUGCCAUAAAUUGGUUUCUAUAAGGUUUUUAUUCAUGUUUUGUAGAUUGAUAGGUCCCAGUUAGAAGCUGAUAUUCACACUGAAUUUAGAAUUCUCUUAGGGUGAGAACAGGGCCACAAUUUGCUGAAUUGAAUGCUUGAUUCUUUAUUGCAACUGAAAAUGUGGUUUAUAUAAGCAAAGCCUAACAAGCAUGUUCAACUUACGUGUAGAAAUAAAUGGCCUGGUACUUCCUAAGAAAUAGGUAACAGAGCAGUAAUGCAAAACAGAAUAAACGUGCAAACGGAAAUGUAAGACUGAAUGCUAAACAUAAUGCAAAUAAAUCUCUAGCGUUCUAGGCUUCAACAGGUCGUGGACUUGGCAUUCUUCUGUAGUCCUCUGCUUGACCUUCGUGAUUUAUCAUAGAUGCGUAGUGCAUUGAAAAUAAUGGAACUGGGAAACUCGUUGCAAGAAAUAAAACAUUACCUUGUGCUAGUGCAAUUUGGAAAGGCAUCCGAUUGGGGCUUUAUCCAAUUCACAUCCUGCAGUAUAGGUCAAUGGGGGAACUGAACUUUGUUACUUGAAAAAACUACGAACCCAAGAGUUAGCUUCCAUAGAUUUGUUUAUUUAGUUCAAUUUCUGCUAGUAAAGUUCAUUUUUUUCAUAUAAUGCAGUGUUUAGGUUCUGAAAGAAUAUUGUAGGUUACAUAGCGCAUUCCAAUUAAUUGGGGACUUCUUAUUUAAAUCACAUAUGAAAAUUUUGAAGGUUGUAUCUUGUAUAAUUGAAGAUGAUGCUUUACAAUUAUAUGCUAACAAUUG